rnacentral:SRP_RNA from 1 species
UGCAGCCGGGGCAGUAGCGGCGCCCUGUACCUUCAAUCCGCUCUAGUUGGGGUGAUGGCCGGCCGAGGGUCUUUGGCUUGUAUAGCUGCCCUUGAUAAGUGAUGUUGACGUCUGGGUCUUGCGCAACGGAAAUCUGUGAACCGUGUCAGGUUGGGAACAAAGCAGCACUAAGCAGAAUCUUUCGUGUGCCGUAAGGGUGCCUAGGCUGAGUUAACUGUCAAGGUAACGUGUAUGGGUUUUGCUCGAAGCAGGUCGCACG